rnacentral:rRNA from 1 species
CAGUAGCCACGGUAAUACAGAGGGUGCGAGCGUUAAUCGGAUUUACUGGGCGUAAAGCGUGCGUAGGCGGCUUCUUAAGUCGGAUGUGAAAUCCCUGAGCUUAACUUAGGAAUUGCAUUCGAUACUGGGAAGCUAGAGUAUGGGAGAGGAUGGUAGAAUUCCAGGUGUAGCGGUGAAAUGCGUAGAGAUCUGGAGGAAUACCGAUGGCGAAGGCAGCCAUCUGGCCUAAUACUGACGCUGAGGUACGAAAGCAUGGGGAGCAAACAGGAUUAGAUACCCCCGUAGUCCUGUCUCUUAUACA